AGCGAACGCUGGCGGCAGGCUUAACACAUGCAAGUCGAACGCCCCGCAAGGGGAGUGGCAGACGGGUGAGUAACACGUGGGAACGUACCCUUUGGUUCGGAAUAACUUGGGGAAACUCAAGCUAAUACCGGAUAAGCCCUUAUGGGGAAAGGUUUACUGACGAAGGAUCGGCCCGCGUCUGAUUAGCUAGUUGGUGGGGUAAUGGCUCACCAAGGCGACGAUCAGUAGCUGGUCUGAGAGUAUGAUCAACCACACUGGGACUGAGACACGGCCCAGACUCCUACAGGAGGCAGCAGUGGGGAAUAUUGGGCAAGGGAGGCAACCCUGAUCCAGCCAUGCCGCGUGAGUGAUGAAGGCCUUAGGGUUGUAAAGCUCUUUUACCCGGGACGAUAAUGACUGUACCGGGAGAAUAAGCCCCGGCUAACUUCGUGCCAGCCGCCGCGGUAA
rnacentral:rRNA from 1 species